rnacentral:rRNA from 1 species
GAUGAACGCUAGCGGCAGGCCUAAUACAUGCAAGUCGAGCGGCAAGUCGAGGAGUAAUCUGAGACCUAGAGCGGCGUACGGGUGCGUAACGCGUAUGCAACCUACCUCAUACAGGGGGAUAGCCCGGAGAAAUCUGGAUUAAUACCCCAUAGCACAGCACAAGGGCAUCUGCGAGCUGUUAAAGAUUCAUCGGUAUGAGAUGGGCAUGCGUCUGAUUAGCUAGUUGGCGGUGUAACGGACCACCAAGGCGACGAUCAGUAGGGGUUCUGAGAGGAAGGUCCAGCACACUGGCACUGAGAUACGGGACAGACUCCUACGGGAGGCAGCAGUAGGGAAUAUUGGGCAAUGGACGAGAGUCUGACCCAGCCAUGCCGCGUGCAGGAAGAAGGCCGUCUGGGUUGUAAACUGCUUUUAUCUGGGAAGAAAAGGCCCAUGCGUGGGACAUUGCCGGUACCAGAUGAAUAAGCACCGGCUAACUCCGUGCCAGCCGCCGCGGUAA